CACGUAGGGUGCGAGCGUUGUCCGGAAUUAUUGGGCGUAAAGAGCUCGUAGGCGGUGUGUCACGUCGGCCGUGAAAACCUGCAGCUUAACUGUGGGCGUGCGGUCGAUACGGGCAUCACUGGAGUUCGGCAGGGGAGACUGGAAUUCCUGGUGUAGCGGUGAAAUGCGCAGAUAUCAGGAGGAACACCGGUGGCGAAGGCGGGUCUCUGGGCCGAUACUGACGCUGAGGAGCGAAAGCCAGGGGAGCAAACGGG
rnacentral:rRNA from 1 species